GUGGACAUCAACCCGACACAAAAUGCUGUGUUUCGGAAGACGCUGUACGCCAACACCACCAUCUUUAUGAAGUUCCAGGGUGACACAGCAUCAUGUGGAAGAAACCUGGCGUUCAACAUCAGCUGGUACCUGCGCUCGUCUGUUUGCUACAACGAGGUCUUCAACA